rnacentral:sRNA from 1 species
CGGGGUGAGCUGCAGUCCCCAGAUCUCUUCCACCACAGCAAGCUGGACCCCGACAUGGCCUUCUGUGCCAACGUCCGGCAGCAGGAUGUGUUCAUGUUCCUGACCAACCGGCACACCCUUGGCCACCUGCUCUCCCUGGACAGCUACCGCACCACCCACCUGCACAACGACCUCUGGGAGGUGUUCAGCAACCCCGAGGACUGGAAGGAGAAGUACAUCCACCAGAACUACACCAAGGCCCUGGCAGGGAAGCUGGUGGAGACGGUAAGGGCCAUGGAUACCCUCUUGGACCAGCCUUGCCUGCUGCAGGGGGCAGGGCACAAAAGGGAAACUGCUUGCUCUGGGGAGUGGGGGAUAGCAGG